AUGGAAGCCAACUGAGACUCUGGUUCCUCAACCAGCAUACCUCUGGGACUCUGCUUUCAGAAGAUAAGCUGGGGUGAGGGUAACAAGCUCUCAGCCCCGCUUGCUAACACUCACAAAUGAGGCCAAUUGCUGCACAGCUCCGGAUCACCUUCCAGCGGAGGGCUGACAAGAAGAACAAUGCAUUUGUUUGCAGCUGUCGAGUCUCCAGGGAGGAUCUGUCAUCGAGCGACGGAUGCUGGACAGCACAUGGACUUGUAUAGAGCGCUCACCCGUGGAAACCUCCGCAUCUAAUAUUACCCGUGGACCACAGCUGUAGCAAAAGGCCCAGGCACUGCUGGUGGUAGAGCGGCUCCCUCACAGGGUCCCCUUUUCAUAAAGCACUUUGAAGUUACUGCGAUGAGGUGCAUAGGUUGGUGUUAACACCUCCGACCCUGCUUUUAGGCUCUGUCAGAUUCUCUGCAACUUACUCUUCUGCAAAGCAGCUACCUUGAGCGUCUCUCAUUCCUAUUCAGUUUGACAGAUGGAUGCCCGCUGUUUAAAACUCAGAAAUGAUAGCAACCGAAAAAAGAGUAAAAACCCAGAGAAAACAAAAUACACCAUUAGUGGUUGAUAAACAGCAUGAUUUUCUUCUUGUGGUCAACAUGAGGUCUCCCAGCUAAAUCAGCUUUUUUCCUUCUGAGAUACCUUUCCCUUUGAGAACCAGGAAUCUCAGAGUCCAUGGUAAGAGAUGAAAAGGUGAAUUAAAAACUUUAUGAAUUUAUGGGAGGGCCUCAGCACUUUCUGCUCUGGAAGAGGACCAGGGUUAGUUCCCAGGACCACGUGGGGACUCACAACUGUGUGUAACUCCGGUUCCAGGGGAUCGGGUGCCCUCCUCUGGCCUC